UACGUAGGUGGCAAGCGUUGUCCGGAAUUAUUGGGCGUAAAGCGCGCGCAGGCGGUCCUUUAAGUCUGAUGUGAAAGCCCACGGCUCAACCGUGGAGGGUCAUUGGAAACUGGGGGACUUGAGUGCAGAAGAGGAAAGCGGAAUUCCACGUGUAGCGGUGAAAUGCGUAGAGAUGUGGAGGAACACCAGUGGCGAAGGCGGCUUUCUGGUCUGUUCUUGACGCUGAGGCGCGAAAGCUAGGGGAGCAAACGGG
rnacentral:rRNA from 1 species